AGGGGGAGUAGUGGAUAUGGCGGUGGAGGGUGUCAAGUUCAUUGUCAUCCAUGAACUCUUCCGUGUAUAUCCCUAGUGCAAUCCCGAACUCGGGUACGCUCAACUGGCGUACUUGACCACCAAGGUGGAACUAGACCGUUUCGGGGUCGUCGAAGUUGGUCAUGACGAUCUGAAGAUGGAACGUCGAGUAGAGUUCCAAUGUGAACUCGAGAUAAGCCGGCUCGACAAUCUCAAAGAAGAGCCCCCACAGGUCAAUCGUCAGGAGGGCUCAGACUGCGUCAGCCAAAUAAAUCUGUUCAAGUGAGGCCUAGUCAAUGCAGCAGCCCACACCUAGGGGUCAGGC
rnacentral:lncRNA from 1 species